rnacentral:snoRNA from 14 species
AAGACAGAAAAAAAUUCUGAAGACCAGCAGUCGUACUGUAGCUGUUGGUUUCAAGCAGACGCCUAAAGAACUGUCUUCCUGUGGUUUGUUGGCUCUUCUGGACUUCAAUAGAGAGUGACUAUUCCAUCUGGAAGAAACAACC